GAUGAACGCUGGCGGCGUGCCUAAUACAUGCAAGUCGAGCGAAUGGAUUAAGAGCUUGCUCUUAUGAAGUUAGCGGCGGACGGGUGAGUAACACGUGGGUAACCUGCCCAUAAGACUGGGAUAACUCCGGGAAACCGGGGCUAAUACUGGAUAACAUUUUGAACUGCAUGGUUCGAAAUUGAAAGGCGGCUUCGGCUGUCACUUAUGGAUGGACCCGCGUCGCAUUAGCUAGUUGGUGAGGUAACGGCUCACCAAGGCAACGAUGCGUAGCCGACCUGAGAGGGUGAUCGGCCACACUGGGACUGAGACACGGCCCAGACUCCUACGGGAGGCAGCAGUAGGGAAUCUUCCGCAAUGGACGAAAGUCUGACGGAGCAACGCCGCGUGAGUGAUGAAGGCUUUCGGGUCGUAAAACUCUGUUGUUAGGGAAGAACAAGUGCUAGUUGAAUAAGCUGGCACCUUGACGGUACCUAACCAGAAAGUCACGGCUAACUACGUGCC
rnacentral:rRNA from 1 species